UCUGAGAGAGCUGGCAAGAGUGAAAGUAAAAGAGGCCCACGCCACAGUUGCCUGCUGUGGCAUCUGAACCUCAAUAAUGAGUCAUCUACAAUGGAUCCUACCACUGGGAGCUUUUGUAGUUCUGGCCA